rnacentral:rRNA from 1 species
AAGUCGAACGAGAGGCCGUAGCAAUACGGUCGUACAGUGGCGAACGGGUGAGGAAGAUGUGGGUAACCUACCCUCGAGUGGGGAAUAACCCGCCGAAAGGCGGGCUAAUACCGCGUACGCUUCUGUUCCUUCGGGGACGGAAGGAAAGCUGUGCCGUGGGCAUGGCGCUCAAGGAUGGGCUCACGCCCUAUCAGCUUGUUGGUAGGGUAACGGCCUACCAAGGCAACGACGGGUAGCUGGUCUGAGAGGACGAUCAGCCACACUGGCACUGCGACACGGGCCAGACUCCUACGGGAGGCAGCAGUGAGGAAUAUUGCGCAAUGGGCGAAAGCCUGACGCAGCGACGCCGCGUGGGGGAUGAAGGUCUUCGGAUUGUAAACCCCUUUCAGGAGGGAAGAUGGAACGGGCAACCGUUCGGACGGUACCUCCAGAAGCAGCCACGGCUAACUUCGUGCCAGCAGCCGCGGUAAUACGAAGGUGGCAAGCGUUGUUCGGAUUUACUGGGCGUAAAGGGAGCGUAGGCGGUUGGGUAAGCCCUUUGGGAAAGCUCCCGGCUUAACCGGGAAAGGUCGAAGGGGACUGCCUGGCUAGAGGGUGGGAGA